rnacentral:siRNA from 1 species
CAUACAUCUUGGCUCAAGGGAA